rnacentral:rRNA from 1 species
CUGCAGCCCGAGUGGUGAUCGAUUUUAUUGAGCCUAAAGCGUCCGUAGCCGGACUAGUAAACCCUUGGGUAAAUUGGGCAGCUUAACUGUCCAAAUUCCGAGGGGACUGCUAGUCUUGGGACCGGGAGAGGUCAGAGGUACUCAAGGGGUAGGGGCUAAAUCCUGUAAUCCUUUGGGGACCACCAGUGGCGAAGGCGUCUGACUAGAACGGAUCCGACGGUAAGGGACGAAACCCUGGGGCGCGAACCGGAUUAGAUACCCGAGUAGCC